UUAAGUAGGGAAGUAUGUUGGAAUUGGGGCGAGAAAAGCUGUGUGUAAAUUCAAGAUGCCCGUACCGCAAACCGACACAGGUAGAUAGGAAGAGAAUUCUAAGGCCGACGGGAGAAGGGUAGUUAAGGAACUCGGCAAAUUGACCCCGUAACUUAGGGAAAAGGGGUGCUCACGAAGGUGAGCCGCAGAGAAUAGGCCCAGGCGACUGUUCAGCAAAAACACAGGUCUCAGCCAAAUCGAAAGAUGAAGUAUAGGGGCUGACACCUGCCCGGUGCUGGAAGGUUAAGAGGAAGUGUGCAAGCACUGAAUUGAAGCCCCAGUAAACGGCGGCCGUAACGAUAACGGUCCUAAGGUAGCGAAAUUCCUUGUCGGGUAAGUUCCGGCCCGCACGAAUGGUGUAACGAUCUGGGCACUGUCUCAACUACCCGCCCGGCGAAAUUGUAGUACCGGUGAAGAUGCCGGUUACCUGCGACAAGACGGAAAGACCCCAUGGAGCUUUACUGUAGCUUAAUAUUGGGUUUCGAUAAUCUAUGUACAGGAUAGGCGGGAGACAUGGAAGCUAGUGCGCCAGCAUUAGCGGAGUCACCCUUGGGAUACCGCCCUUAGAUUAUUGGAAUUCUAACCUGCGGCCAUGAAACUGGUCGGGGGACAUUGUUAGGUGGGCAGUUUGACUGGGGCGGUCGCCUCCGAAAAGGUAACGGAGGCGCUCAAAGGUUAGCUCAGCACGGACGGAAACCGUGCCUCUGAGUGUAAACGCAAAAGCUAGCCUAACUGCGAGGAUGACGGUCCGAGCAGUAACGAAAGUUGGAGUUAGUGAUCCGGCGGUAUGUGAAUGGAAAUGCCGUCGCUCAACGGAUAAAAGCUACCCUGGGGAUAACAGGCUGAUCUCCCCCAAGAGUCCACAUCGACGGGGAGGUUUGGCACCUCGAUGUCGGCUCAUCACAUCCUGGGGCUGAAUUCGGUCCCAAGGGUUCGGCUGUUCGCCGAUUAAAGUGGUACGCGAGCUGGGUUCAGAACGUCGUGAGACAGUUCGGUCCCUAUCUGUCGUGGGCGUAAGAUAUUUGAGGAGCUCUGUCCUUAGUACGAGAGGACCGGGAUGGACGCACCUCUGGUGCACCAGUUGUCACGCCAGUGGCACGGCUGGGCAGCUAAGUGCGGAACGGAUAAACGCUGAAAGCAUCUAAGCGUGAAGCCGGCUCCAAGAUAAGAUAUCUCCAGACCCCUUGUAGACUACGAGGUUGAUAGGCUGCGUGUGUAAGUGUCGUGAGGCAUUGAGCUUGGCAGUACUAAUAGGUCGGAAGCUUGACCG
rnacentral:rRNA from 1 species